AGUGAACGCUGGCGGUAGGCCUAACACAUGCAAGUCGAACGGCAGCACAGUAAGAGCUUGCUCUUACGGGUGGCGAGUGGCGGACGGGUGAGGAAUACAUCGGAAUCUACUUUUUCGUGGGGGAUAACGUAGGGAAACUUACGCUAAUACCGCAUACGACCUACGGGUGAAAGCAGGGGAUCUUCGGACCUUGCGCGAUUGAAUGAGCCGAUGUCGGAUUAGCUAGUUGGCGGGGUAAAGGCCCACCAAAGCGACGAUCCGUAGCUGGUCUGAGAGGAUGAUCAGCCACACUGGAACUGAGACACGGUCCAGACUCCUACGGGAGGCAGCAGUGGGGAAUAUUGGACAAUGGGCGCAAGCCUGAUCCAGCCAUACCGCGUGGGUGAAGAAGGCCUUCGGGUUGUAAAGCCCUUUUGUUGGGAAAGAAAAGCAGCAGGUUAAUACCCCGCUGUUCUGACGGUACCCAAAGAAUAAGCACCGGCUAACUUCAUG
rnacentral:rRNA from 1 species